rnacentral:rRNA from 1 species
AAAAAAGGUAAGCUACUAAGAGCGAAUGGUGGAUGCCUUGACUGGUAAAGGCGAUGAAGGACGUACUAGACUGCGAUAAGCUACGGGGAGCUGUCAAGAAGCUUUGAUCCGUAGAUUUCCGAAUGGGGCAACCCAAUGUAUAGAGAUAUACAUUACCUAUAUAGGAGCGAACGAGGGGAAUUGAAACAUCUUAGUACCCUCAGGAAAAGAAAUCAAUAGAGAUUGCGUCAGUAGCGGCGAGCGAAAGCGCAAGAGGGCAAACCCAGUGCUUGCACUGGGGGUUGUAGGACUGCAAUGUGCAAGAGGUGAGUUUAGCAGAACAUUCUGGAAAGUAUAGCCAUAGAGGGUGAUAGUCCCGUAUGCGAAAAACAAACCUUAGCUAGCAGUAUCCUGAGUAGGGCGGGACACGAGAAAUCCUGUCUGAAGCUGGGUCGACCACGAUCCAACCCUAAAUACUAAUACCAGAUCGAUAGUGCACAAGUACCGUGAGGGAAAGGUGAAAAGAACUGAGGUGAUCAGAGUGAAAUAGAACCUGAAACCAUUUGCUUACAAUCAUUCAGAGCCCUAUGUAGCAAUACAGGGUGAUGGACUGCCUUUUGCAUAAUGAGCCUGCGAGUUGUGGUGUCUGGCAAGGUUAAGCAAACGCGAAGCCGUAGCGAAAGCGAGUCUGAAUAGGGCGCUUAGUCAGAUGCUGCAGACCCGAAACGAAGUGAUCUAUCCAUGAGCAAGUUGAAGCUAGUGUAAGAACUAGUGGAGGACUGAACCCAUAGGCGUUGAAAAGCCCCGGGAUGACUUGUGGAUAGGGGUGAAAGGCCAAUCAAACUUCGUGAUAGCUGGUUCUCUCCGAAAUAUAUUUAGGUAUAGCGUUGUGUCGUAAUAUAAGGGGGUAGAGCACUGAAUGGGCUAGGGCAUACACCAAUGUACCAAACCCUAUCAAACUCCGAAUACCUUAUAUGUAAUCACAGCAGUCAGGCGGCGAGUGAUAAAAUCCGUCGUCAAGAGGGAAACAACCCAGACUACCAGCUAAGGUCCCUAAAUCUUACUUAAGUGGAAAACGAUGUGAAGUUACUUAAACAACCAGGAGGUUGGCUUAGAAGCAGCCAUCCUUUAAAGAAAGCGUAAUAGCUCACUGGUCUAGUGAUUUUGCGCGGAAAAUAUAACGGGGCUAAAGUAAGUACCGAAGCUGUAGACUUGCGCACAACUUAGAUUAUUUAAGUUUAGAAUAUGAGAAACUAAGUUAUAUGUUUAGUUAUAUUUUUACUGAUUUUUAUAGAGUAAAGAUAGAAAUAAAACUUAGUAAAAUCAGUAAAAAUAUUCUUAGACUAAAGUUAAGUAGUUUAAGUUGUGUGCAAGUGGUAGGAGAGCGUUCUAUUUGCGUCGAAGGUAUACCGGUAAGGAGUGCUGGAGCGAAUAGAAGUGAGCAUGCAGGCAUGAGUAGCGAUAAUUAAUGUGAGAAUCAUUAACGCCGUAAACCCAAGGUUUCCUACGCGAUGCUCGUCAUCGUAGGGUUAGUCGGGUCCUAAGUCGAGUCCGAAAGGGGUAGACGAUGGCAAAUUGGUUAAUAUUCCAAUACCAACAUUAGUGUGCGAUGGAAGGACGCUUAGGGCUAAGGGGGCUAGCGGAUGGAAGUGCUAGUCUAAGGUCGUAGGAGGUUAUACAGGCAAAUCCGUAUAACAAUACUCCGAGAACUGAAAGGCUUUUUGAAGUCUUCGGAUGGAUAGAAGAACCCCUGAUGCCGUCGAGCCAAGAAAAGUUUCUAAGUUUAGCUAAUGUUGCCCGUACCGUAAACCGACACAGGUGGGUGGGAUGAGUAUUCUAAGGCGCGUGGAAGAACUCUCUUUAAGGAACUCUGCAAAAUAGCACCGUAUCUUCGGUAUAAGGUGUGGUUCGCUUCGUAUUAGGAUUUACUCCGAAAGCGAAGAAACUUACAACAAAGAGUCCCUCCCGACUGUUUACCAAAAACACAGCACUCUGCUAACUCGUAAGAGGAUGUAUAGGGUGUGACGCCUGCCCGGUGCUCGAAGGUUAAUUGAUGGGGUUAGCAUUAGCGAAGCUCUUGAUCGAAGCCCGAGUAAACGGCGGCCGUAACUAUAACGGUCCUAAGGUAGCGAAAUUCCUUGUCGGUUAAAUACCGACCUGCAUGAAUGGCGUAACGAGAUGGGAGCUGUCUCAAAGAGGGAUCCAGUGAAAUUGUAGUGGAGGUGAAAAUUCCUCCUACCCGCGGCAAGACGGAGAGACCCCGUGGACCUUUACUACAGCUUGACACUGCUAUUUGGAUAAGAAUGUGCAGGAUAGGUGGGAGGCUUUGAGUAUAUGACGCCAGUUGUAUAUGAGCCAUUGUUGAGAUACCACUCUUUCUUAUUUGGGUAGCUAACCAGCUUGAGUUAUCCUCAAGUGGGACAAUGUCUGGUGGGUAGUUUGACUGGGGCGGUCGCCUCCCAAAUAAUAACGGAGGCUUACAAAGGUUGGCUCAGAACGGUUGGAAAUCGUUCGUAGAGUAUAA